CCAUCAAACUCUUCAUUUAUUCCUGUCAGCAGCAAAACACACUCCUCGGGCUGAACAAUUGAUGGAGCGUUUGCAAAACGCCCGUUCUCUCUCCAUGUUUAUGUCUCUUGACAUUCAGCAGGUGACCAGCGUUCUGCGAGAGAGCGAUUUGGUUUCCUAACAAUGGAAACUCAAUCACAAAAUGGAAGUGCUUUAAUUGCUUCAGAGCUCCAAUCCCUUGGCCUUCUCUCUCUCUCGCUCUCUUUCUCACUUUCUUUUUUUGUCUUUGUCUUUUUGUAGUGUGCUGUGGUAGAGGUGAUGGGAGAAAGAGAGCGGGCCUGGAAGGCCGACAGAGAAUACGGAAUCUAACACUGAACUGAGAGCUGCUAACUACUGAAAACUGCACAUCAUCAACAGGGUCUGCCUUUACCUUCCUGAUGGUUGAUUACCGUGACUUUUUCAGCAUCAAGGUCAUCACGGGAGAAUGAAGAUCUAGACACAUCUUGAUGAACCCUUGUAUGAAAAAUCAAAAAAGACGGACAGAGAAAGAAAAAAUAAGCCAUGGUUUAUUCUUUUGUGGAACAGAAGGUGAAAGAAGAAGUGGGCCGUUCCUCUAAGGAUCUACUGUCGUAGACACUUUCCCCUGAUCUGACAACAAAACCAGCACCUGUAAGAAGAGAAAACUUAAGUUUGGAGGGUGAAAAACAUUCAGGGCACAAAGUUGGCCAGGACAGCGACUAGCGUCUCCUCAAAAAUAGAUGCAUGACGCCCCUGCAAACCCGUGUUAGUCACGUCCGCCGUCCUUCUUCUUAGUCCGAGGUGCCGCUUCAUUCUUUCAGCAAGUAUUUAGAAUGACAGUUACAGAUCACACAGCUCUGAAAAUAAGACGAGAGAUUAUGCUGGUGACACGUUGCUGAGUCCGUCAAUCACUCUGCCUCCGACCCGGUGAGAAAUAUUAAACCCAGCACGUUUGCGUGUCUGUAUCAAAGCGCUGUGAGGGUGAAUUACGUGCUAGACACAACAGAAGUGAUAGCAAAGGUUUUGCCCCCACUGCCCUGCAUUCAUUCACUUUGAUGGGUUCAACUACCUUGACUCUUUGCAGAGGACACACUCUGAAUGAGUAACGUGAUUAAAGCCUGCAGAGACUGCGAAACAGAAUCGAAUCAAGCGCUUCUCGCAGUCACUGAAGAGAGAGACGCCUCAUUUGAAAACGAUUACAGUAGCAUCGCAACAUCUAGGACAGGCACGCUGGAGGAAAGUGCUCAAACCGAACCUGUCCCGCUGAAGAACCGCAUGGCUGUGUACCAGGCGGCGGUUUCCAAACAGGACAGAACCGGCUUCUCCAGCUCGGUCAUGGAGGAAGCCGAGGUUUGUUCCCUGCCUGGGGGUCUGGCCAGUGUCCGCAGACAGUUCGAGAAUGAGGGCAUGUCAUCAUCUCACACCGUCACCCAGAUUCAACACACACACAGAUCUGUGCAGGAGGUGUCAAAUUCAUCAGCGAUGAGUGUGGCGAGCAGCAGCGGGGGUCGACAAGUCUCGCAGCAGGUCUUCCUCCAGGAUGAAAGGACAGCACGUGAUCAAAUCGCUCAUAGCCGGGAGGUUGUUUCCAGUUAUGAGAAUAAUCACAAUGAAAUGGAGGAGGAAGACUACUAUCCAAGGCUCUCGACUAAAGAACUGGCACAGCAUUUUGAAAAGACUAUUGAGGAGGCAGCCCCGAGCAAGAAAAUUAAGAUUGAACGUGACAAAAGCCGUUCACAGCUGCCAAAAGAUGUGAUCGCGUCCCAUCAAACUGUGAAGAGUGAGAUGUCAAGGACUCUGAACAGUGUUGCCACAGAGAAAGUGGAAGAAGUUGAACCGAGUUCUGAGUUUGCUUUUGAUGAUGAAGAUGAUGAUGACGAAGAUGAUGAUGAUCUGGAUUAUCUGCCACCGCCCCCACCGGACUUACUGGAGGAACCUUCAGAAGUUGUGGAAAACUUUCCUGAACCUCCAGUGAAACAAACAGUGAACAGACAGCAAUACUACAAACAGAGGGAGCUAUUAGAGCUGAAACGUCUUUGCAAACACAUUCACCCUGAUGUCAGAAAAGACCUGGAAAGAGAUUUCUACAAUGACGAUGACAUUGAAGAAGUAGGAGACGUUCAAGAGGCAGCAUACCAGUUUGAACACACCGGCAGCAAUUCAAACGGAAGCCCGGAACGUGAAUAUUUGGAGUGGGAUGAGAUCUUGAGAGGCGAAGUGCAGUCCAUGCGCUGGAUGUUUGAGAACAAACCUUUGGACUGCAUUAAGGAUGACUCGGAUAACGAAGAAUAUGGGAAAAAGAUCAAUCAGCAGGAAAUCAUUCCUGGAGGUGACGUUAGGAACAGGGCUUUGAUGUUUGAGACGCAGCCCAUGGAUGCACUGGGAAUGCAACGUGAUUCAGCAAAACGAAACUAUCUAGUGAACGAAGUGGGGAAGAGAGAUGUUCGCACGGCCGCCUGGUUGUUCGAGACCAAGCCGAUGGAUACGCUAAAUAAAAUUCACUCUGAUGAUGAGCAAACCAAAGAAGUCAUCUUCACACAAGAAGCCACGGAAGGGGAUGUGAAGUCUGUGAGGUACAUGUUUGAAAACCAAGAAAUGGAUUCUCUGGGCGACACUGAAACUAUGGAUGAGAAGCAGUUGCUGAGCUUAAAGUCUGUGCUGGAGGAGAUCAAGUUGGAGGUGAAGAAAGUCAUUUGGAUGUUUGAGACGCAAUGCAUGUGUGUUAUGAGGGAGAACUCCGGUGAGAUGGUUUUGAUUACUUCUGUCCGCCGAGAGGAGACAGAGAAAGGUGAUGUCAAAACAUCAAGAUGGCUAUUUGAAACUCAGCCUUUGAAUGACAUUGACAUGGACCUUUCUCAGGUCAGGUUAAUCUCAAGUAUAUCCAUGGAAGACAACCAGGUGGGUGAUGCGAAAAGAGGAAGGUGGCUGUUUGAGACCAAGAGGCUUGACUCCAUAAACGCCCAGUGGGAGAGACUGCAAAAUCAGCAGAAAGAAGAGAUUCUUGGGGCGGAUGUACGCAAACACUGCAUGGUGUUUGAGACGCAGCCUAUGGACUCACUUAAAGAUGAUGCCAACUCCAGACCCGUCACCACAGAACAGAUUAUUGGUGGUAAUGUUCGUUCUGUGAGACACUUAUUUGAAAGUGCUCCACCGGAUGAGCUCAAAGAGCUUCCAGAAGUGGGGAAACUAAAUAGAAAAGCAGCAUUUGAAGAAGGAAGAGGUGAUGUGAGACAUCAAAAAUGGGUGUUUGAAAACAAACCUCUGGAGAACAUUAAGGAUGAGGAUGAUGAGGUAAACCGACUUAAGAAAACCAUAGCGUCUGAUGAAGAAAGAGGUGACGUGAGACAUCAAAGAUGGCUGUUUGAGAACCAGCGUUUGGAAGACAUUCAAGAGGAGAAAAGAGAGUUUGUGAAAACGAUCGAAUCAGAACAAAUAGAUAGAAGUUACAAGGGUGAUGUCCGCAGAAACUGUUGGGUGUUUGAGACGCAGCCGAUGGAUCAGUUAAAGGAUGAUUCCAAUGCCAGGCCAGUAAGUGCAGAAGAAAUUAUAGGAGGUGACGUUCAGUCUGCCAGACACUUUUUUGAGACUGCGCCAAAAGAUGAGAUGAAAGAGCUCGCAGAGGUGGGGAAGCUCAAAAGAAUGAUGACAUCUGAGGAGAAAGGAGACGUUCGACACCAGAAGUGGCUGUUUGAGAGCCAGCCGCUGGAGCAGAUCAGAGAGGAGAGAAAGGAAAUAACAAGAACUGUGAAUCUGGAGGAUAUAGAAAAUGUGGAUGUGAGCAAUUACAAGCAAAUUUUUGAAACCUAUGAUUUAAGCCAAUAUGACGAAAGUCAGAGAAUUCAAGUUGAGGGUGUCACCACUGGCUCUGUCAGAUCAAAUAAAGAUUUAUUUGAGUCUAUGCCGUUAUAUGCACUGCAAGACAGCUCCGGGCAUUAUCACGAGGUCAGAACCGUGCGGCGGGAAGAAAUCGUCAAAGGAGACGUCAGAAGCUGCCAGUGGAUGUUUGAAACUCGCCCUAUUGACCAAUUCGAUGAGAGCAUCAAUAAAUUCCAAAUCAUAAAGGGCAUAACACAGCAAGAGAUCGAAUCUGGAGAUGUCAAGAUGGCAAAAUGGCUCUUUGAAACCCAGCCUCUCGAUGCCAUUAAGUAUUUUAGCAAUAUUGAAGAUGAGGAGUGCGUUACUAGGGAGACGGCAGAAAUAGUCAAAGGUGAUGUUAAAACCUGUAAGUGGCUUUUUGAGACCAAACCUAUAGACAUGCUUUAUGAACGAGAAGAACUUCAGGGUACGAAAGAUUCUGCCGAAGUUCAGAAAGGCGAUGUGAAAACAUGCACUUGGCUUUUUGAAACUCAAACCCUUGAUGCCAUACAGGAUAACUCAGAGACAGUGUUGCAAACUCGCACUGUGAAACAAGAGGACAUUCACGGAAAGGACGUCCGCCUGGCACGUUUCCUGUUUGAGACGGAGAACCUAGAGAACAUUGUUGGAGGAGAGCGAGAAGCUUUUAAGAGCGUUACAGAGAUCGACAUACAAUCUGGGGACGUGUCUCGGAUGAAAUACAUAUUCGAAACCCAAUCUUCUGACGUUAUGAGCUCAACCUCUGAGGAUUUCAUGAGACAGCUGAGGAGCGCUCAAACUGAGGAUAUUCAGAAAGGAAAUGUUGGAAACUGCAAAUGGCUGUUUGAGAACCAACCCAUAGAUAAAAUCUCAGAGACCCCCGGUGAGCUAAAAGGAGCUCGCACGGUACAAGAUGUUCAGGGAGGCGAUGUGGAUAAAGGCAGAUUCAUUUUUGAGACCUACACGUUAGAUGAGAUUCAAGAUGCGUCCUCUGAGGCCGAAAUGAGAAAGCUGCAGAAAGUCAUAAGAGAGGAUGAGGAAAAGGGAGAUGUGAAAACAUACGCCAUGAUGUUUGAGACUCAGCCUCUCUAUGCCAUCCAAGACAAAGAAGGCCAUUAUCAUGAAGUGACCACACUUACAAAAGAAGAAAUUCAUAGAGGUGAUGUAGUAGGAGCCCGCUGGCUGUUUGAGACAAAGCCCCUGGACUCAAUUAGAGAGACAGAUGAGGUCUAUCUCUUAAAAGCCGUUACAGAGGAAGAUAUCCAAAAAGGUGAUGUCAGCUCAGCGAGGUGGAGGUUUGAAACCCAGCCCCUUGAUAAGAUUGCAGAAGAUGCCAAAAUAUCAAUCAAAACUGUUGAGGACAUUCAGGGAGGGGAUGUAAAGACAAACAAGCAGCGUUUUGAAUCUGAUGCUUUGUCUCAAAAGUUGGUGCGUACUGUCAGCAUGAGUGAGAUUCAUAAAGGAGAUGUUAGGACGGCAAAAUGGAUGUUUGAAACACAUACAAUUGAUCAGAUACAUGGUGAAAAGUCAGAAGAUGAGAUGAAGACUGUUGUUAUGGAGGAAGAGCUGAAGGGGGAUGUCAAACAGUCUGUGUGGCUAUUUGAGAAGAAUCCUCUUGAUCAUAUCAACGAAAGUGACGAAGCUAAGAAGAUAAUUUGUGAAGAAAUCCCCAAAGCGGAUGUAAAAACCACAACGUGGCUUUUUGAAACCACGCCGAUCACUGAAUUUAACGAGAGCAGCUUGGAGAAGACGGAAAUCGUUGGUAAAAGCAUUAAAGCCACCCUCGAUGAACUGUUCACCCAAAGAAUGGUGGACAACAAAGGUAUCAUUAUAGAGGCAGAUGAAAUUGGAGACGUUCGUAUGGCUAAGUACAACCUCAUGAAUAAAGAAACUCCCCAGAUCCAAAGAGAAGACAUCAUUAAAGGAGAUCUGCAAAACAUCAUGAUGAACCUCCUUAACAGGCAAGAGAAUACCGAAAGGGGAAUAGUUAUAAAUGCAGAGGAGAGGGGAGACAUCAGCGGCACGGUGCAACAGCUGUUCCAAGAGCACAGCGGCACCUCUGUGGAGAAAGAGGAAAUAAUAAGAGGUGACAUUCAGGAAGCCAUAAACAACCUGCUGAAAGAGGAGAGCACCGGCAAACGGGGCAUUCUCAUUCAAGAAGACGAAAAGGGAGAUGUUCGUAUGACGAUCUACUCUUUAUUCAAUUCUCCAGAGGAAUCAAGCACUCAGAAAGAAUAUAUAGUUGGAGGUAAUGUGAAAGGGUGCCUGGAGAGACUUUGCAAUCCAGACACAGAAGAGAUUGUGAGAAUUAAAGUGGAUGAAGCAGAAAGGGGAAAGGUGAGCUUUUAUUCUACAUGCAUUGAGUCGGGUGCGCUGGAUUACCUCAAAAAGCUCCAGGUAGAGCCAGAUGAGGCUGACCCAGGUAAAAUUGAAAAAGAGGAAAUCAUCGGUGGUGAUAUUAAGGGAACGAAACUCAGCCUGACAUGUAAUCAAGCUCAAAUUGGUCGUCUGGUGGACAGGGAAGAUAUAGUCCCAGGCGAUGUUCAUAACACAGUUAAGGUUUUCAUGACCGAGCCUCCAGUCUCAUUGGAAAAUUUACAGAGAGAAGAGAUUGUGAGGGGAGACCUACAAGCAGCCAUGAAUUCUCUAUCACAGUCUGUAAACCAGACGGUUGUUUUGGAAAAAGAAGUAGUCAUUCGUGCUGAUUUACCUACAACUCUAAGGUCUCUAGAGGAGGCCCAAAAUCAGCCCAGAGAGGUGGACAAGCCCGAAAUCAUUCCUGGUAACAUCAAAGGAGCACUGAAGUCACUCAAAGACUCUGCUUCCACCAAGGUGGAAAUUGUCGUAGAAGAUUUAGUGCCAGGUGACAUCAAAGGUACGUUGAAAUCGCUGGAGGAGGCCAAACAUGCAGUGCGAGAGGUGGAGAAGGAGGUGAUUGUUAAGGGUGACAUUCACACGGCAAUACAGAGUCUACACGAAGCGUCAAAUGAGAGAAAGGUUUGCCAGCAGGAGAUUGAAGUCCAGGGAGACGUGAAAGGCAAGAUUCAACUCUUACUUGAACCUCCUCCAUCUCCCCGAAUGCAACGCAGGGCGAGCACAGAGGGCGACGUGAAGCUUUCCAUAAAAUCGCUCUAUGACACCCAAGAGCAAGUGCAAUCAGAGAAAGAAGAAGUGAUAAAAGGAGACGUUAAGGGUACAAUAAAAUACUUAAUGGAAACGGCACAGAGAGCUAGCCCAACCAUUCCCCGAAGGCAGCCGAUAAGAAAGGUCAAAGUUCCUGCCAAGACCCCGUCUCCAUCAGUGAAAGACAUCCCGGCACAGAAGCCCACCCCUGCAGUUAAAAACCUUGAUAUGAGCAGUGAAUCGAAGAGAAGCGCUCACAAGCAAUCAAUGCAAAACAGAUACGCAUCUCAAGAGAGUACUACAAUCACCGGCCACACCGCAACAUGCAGCCAGGAGACAAAAACCACAGUGCUGGAGCACAAAACAAUUGUUCAAACACACGGUGUCAAAACGUUGAAGACUGACUUCCGUAACCUCAAAAAAAGUGGCUGUAAGGGUUUGAUCAGACUGGAUAAAAGAAAACAGCAGGAAAUCUGUAUGCCACCUCCACCACCUGACCCCGAGCCCCCUCUGCCUCCCCCUCCAACGCCCCCUCCAGAUUAUGAUAGCAUCUCCUUCCCCACUCCUCCUCCGAGCAUUAGGGGUGAUCAUGAUCUUCCCCCUCCUCCUACUCCUCCUCCUCCAUGUGAUCCAUCCAAGAUAGAACUUGAGCAUUUACCUCCUCCACCAACCCCGCCACCUCCUCCUCUUCCCACAGCUGAGCUAGACCUCCUCCCUCCACCUCCCACAGAACAGGAGCUGGACCUCCUUCCGCUGCCCAACAUAACACCAUCCAAACCUACUAAAAUGACUGUCAAACCCGUCAAAGCACCAACUCUGUGUAAAGUACCCAAGCUUGAGCCAGCGAUUUCAUUUGAGAAAAUUGAUGUGCAGACUACACAAAAGACCAAGGGUAGAAAAAAUGUCACCACAUCAUCAGUUAAGUCCACCGUGAUAACCUCCGAAAUUCAGUCUGCAUUUACAAAGCAGCCACCGGAGUCUCCACGGCCUCCCAAGAAAGUUUUUGCCCCCGUAACACUCACACCACCCCCCUCUCCUCCUCCUCCGCCCAAAUCCCCGGUAAGCAAAUUCAAAACCCCAUUAAUACAAGCCGAACAGAAGUACAGACAGCAGAGGGAGGAAAGCUGCACGCCGCCACCACCGCGCUCCCCGGCCUUUGAAAUCCGCAUGCACGAGUCAGUCGGUGCAGCCCUUGAAAUGCUUUCUUCAGAGAGCACGGGCACGGUGCAAUCAGAGGCAAGCAUAUCAUUUGAUUUCACUCAAGAGAGAGCUCAAAAGAGUGUGACCAAAUCCGAAUCAGCCACAGACUCAUAUGAUUCAUCCAAGCACACAGCUCUCUCAAACGCUCCCCCAAGCAAGGCUUUGAUCGCUGCCACAAAUGAGAAAUCUCCUUCAGAAUCUGCUGUUAUUUCCUCAGUUAAACAGAACAUUAUCUCUAAUCAGUCAUCGCAGAGCUCUACAGGUCAGCAGCAGACCACCUCCACUUCAACUAAAAAGAAAAAGAAGAGAUCCGUGAUGACCAACAUACAACAGGUGACGAAGACGGUUAUUACAAACACAGCUAAAGAAGAAAUGAAGUCCUCUGUCGAAACAGACAAACCUCAAAGUGUCUCUAAAAAUGAAUCUGAGAAUGUUGGAAAAGAUGUUUGCAGCAUAUCUUUAUCCGAGGGCAAAACAAAAGAGGAAGGCUCCCCAAAGAAAAAUCAAGAAAAAAACUCCCCUGAUCGAUCCAAACUGAACAAAGAGAGUCAAAUUAAGGAUGCUGAUCAGAAGCCACAAAAGGUCGACAGUCAAAAGGCAAAGAAAGUUAGUAAGAGUGUUAAACUGGAAGGCAAGGCGAAAGCCACAGUGGAGCAGGAGAGUGUUCAGGUGAAAGAAAGCAGAGAAAAAAGCCCCACAGAAAAAGAAAAUACAGUAGAGAAAGAGGCCAAAGAGAAACCUGUAGAGGGGCCCCCUGCCACUCCGAAAAAGAAAAGGAGGAGCAAAAAUAAGAAAGACAGAGAAGCUACUCAAAGCAACAACGGCGCAUCCAUCUCGCCCACAGAGGCCACGCUUGCUGAGCCUAAGUGGCCAGUCCUGACAUCCGAUAAAAAACAAGAAGAAAUCACCGUUGUGCAAACACAGCACACCAUUCAAACAGGACACGCCAAGGUUUACAAGGAGGUCAUCGAAACUGAAAGUACAGUCCAAGAGCAGAGUUUCCAGGAGGAGGGCGCGACUGUAAAACUUCAAAAGCGGGCCAGUGGAAGCCAGCAGAUUCCUGAGGAAUCAAAAGAUGAAAGCAGAAAUGUUCCCAUAAAAAUGACAGGCAAAUCUGCACAAAAGGAGCCUGCAGAGUCCUCGGUGGAAAGCUCAGACACAUCUCUAAGACAAGCCGAAGCGCAGAAGAUGUUGUCUCGUAUCUCGGAGUUACAGGGGGUUGCUGGAAAAAUGGACUUUAAGUCUGUGAAGACGCUGCUCAAUGAAAUGCCCGCCUGGCUUCUGGGGCCAGAGGAGCAGAGUGAUUUAGAAGGGGCAGCUGUCGAACACAACGAACAGAAGCUGAAAGAAAUUCUGGCACAUGUUAAAAACCUUGUUCAAGCUAAGCUAAUGCACUUUGACGGCACUAUUGAAAAGCAUGAAUGCGAGGCCACCUCUGAGAAAUUAGUCUCUGGCGGAGCUGUACAAAGAAUUUCGAAGAUUUCCAUUGGUUCUACAAAGUGCGAAACACAGAAGGUGGUCAAAGAGGAGACGAAGACAACGCGCAAGAGCCGAAAGCAACAAACGAGCAGCGUUACCACUCUUGACCCCAGAGCUCCGUCCCCACUGUUACGGAUGCGCUCUCCAUCACCUACGUUCAUCACCAUCGAGUCCACGAAGAGAACCGACUCGCCACAGAGGGCAGUGCCCUCGCCUUCCCCAACGCCUCCGACACCUCCUCCGCGUAGGUCUGAGACGCCAAGCUCUCGCUUAAGCAGGGCCUCACCUUCACCCUCCUCGAACCGGGCUGAUAGUCUGACACGGCUUAGAAAUGCCACGGCUACGCUCUCCCGCGGCGCCUCGCCUGAUCCGGUGUCUCGCGUGGUGUCGGUCGCUGGAAAGAAGUCUGAAAUUGUGGAAUCUCCCGCCACGUUCCAACGGCAGAUCAAAAUUGAUUCUGAGAAAAAGGUUGAAGAGGAGACUCUCAAAGUGGUGAGUGUUGAAGUGAAUAACAUCAACGUGAGUGGAAAUGCUGUUAAUGUUCCAGAGGAUGCCAAAGCUGUGAAAGAAAAGGGAAAUCUCUCUAAGGUUGACCUGUCUGGACUAGCCAAACCAAUUGAGACGUCAGAAGAGAAAGUUGGUAUUAGAAAAGACCCAGUUGGCAAUACAGAGAAGCCUGGCAGGGAAACUGACGACCUGGAGCUUGAUACGGAGAAAAAAGCAAGACAACAAGAGGAUAUGGCUCCUUUCAACAUCAAGGAUAUUAAAAAUGUUUUUGAAAUGAGUGAGCAAAGUUCCCCCAUCAAAGAGCUACAAAACAAACAGGAGGAACAGGAGUCAAGAGUGAGUGAAAUUGCAUCUGAAGGUUCAAAGCCUGAGCUUCCUCCAGAGAGGGAACAAUGCUCCCAGCUGAGCUCCCCUCCGCUUGUGCACAGAGAUGUGAAAGUAGACAAGUCUGUCGAUCCAACAGGCUUUUCAGAGACAAAAACAGUCACUGAGCAUUAUUCUUCUGUUGACGAGUUUGGCACUAAAAUUAUUGGAUCAAGAAGCACCACGACGGUUUCCGCGCACUCCGAAAGCGUUACGACGCAACGGGUGCCUUUUUCCUAUGCUGAUGCUGUGAAGAAAAAGACGUCAGAGGUGACGGUGUCACCUGAGGCCUCUGCAGAGGAACUGAUGAAGAACUUCCAUAAAACGUGGACUGAAAGUGAGAGUGUUUUCAAAAGCUUAGGUGUCACAGGUGAGAGAGCCACGUCACCCGCUAGUGCAUCAAACCGAGACUGCUGUGCCGGGUAAAUAUGCCUGCAGUGCAUGAUGGGAAUGAAAUUUAACAGCAAGCUACUGAAAAACUUCUAAGAUUCGAGUACCAAAGUCGGAGAUGUGUGCGGUGUGCAAGAAGAGGGUUUACCCCAUGGAAGGCCUGAUAGCCGACAAAAAGAAGUUCCA